rnacentral:rRNA from 1 species
AUUGAACGCUGGCGGCGUGCUUAACACAUGCAAGUCGAUCGGUAACAGGUGUAGCAAUACAUGCUGACGAGAGGCGGACGGGUGAGUAAUGCUUGGGAAUCUGCCUAUUAGUGGGGGACGAACCCGGGAAACGUACGGGCGUAAUACCGCAUACGCUCUACGGAGGAAAGACCGGGGACCGCAAGGCCUGGCGCUAAUAGAUGAGCCCAACGUCGGAUUAGCUAGUUGGUAGGGUAACGGCCUACCAAGGCGACAAUCCGUAGCUGGUCUGAGAGGACGACCAGCCACACCGGAACUGAGACACGGUCCGGAC